UGGGGGAUCGUCUAGUGGUAGGACGCUGCGCUCUGGCCGCAAAAACCGGGGUUCGAAUCCCUGUCCCCCAG
rnacentral:tRNA from 1 species